CAUCAAAACAACAGAAAACAAACAAAAAACACGAGCUAAUCUCUUAUUAGACUAUUUCUUCUUCUUUCCCUUGUCAUCUUUCUUUUCUCCUCCUUUAUGUUUCUCUUGAUA
rnacentral:ribozyme from 1 species